AGACUCGAUGCGAGGAAACGAUUUAGGCUUUUGCUGCUAUACGGCGAAGCCAUUAUCAGACCACGGUAGCAGGCAGUAUGGGAUUGUUACGAAGAAGCAAUUUUUUGAAGUCAGUUGAAUUCAAUGAAACUGCUAACAAUUCCACUGCGAAUGACUCCAUUCGAAUCAAUCGAAGCACAGCGGUCAGGAUGUCGAACAUUUUGCAGACGACAAAAAUACCGGUUCAGGUGUCGUAAUCAGUAGAGCAGUCAACACACUGCGAUCUGAUGAGACUCAUCCUUGUAAUCGAUUUGCUCGU
rnacentral:ncRNA from 1 species